ACAGAAUAGCUUAUGUACGAAACGUACCUGCAUAUGGCGGAUGAUCAGUUUGUGUUUAUGUCAAUAAGCAACUAAAAUUUUGGAUUUGCGCGGGUGUGGAUAAAACAUUUUAAAAUAAAUUAUGUGUUUGUGAAGCCUGUGAAUUGUGUGUUAUUUUUGUGAUAAUGUUUUUCUUUGGAAGACUUUUGGGAACACUGAAAUCAUCGGUGUACUAUUAAGGACAUUAUUUUGCGCCCUAAGAUGGAGGCCGACAUCACACCCGCGCGGCCCGGCGCCGGUAAGAUGCGAGAGCGACGUCAGGCGCAAUAUCGCACGGUCUCUCUACUGUUUGCCUGCCUUCUCUUCCUCAAUUGUCAAGUCGACGCCGCCGAUCCGCCUGAGAUCACGAUCCGGCCGAGGAACCUUCAAGUUCGAGCUAACAGCAUCGCAGCGUUCUAUUGCGCGGCACGAGGAGACCCGAUACCUAACAUACAGUGGCGCAAAAACGGAAAGAAAGUUUCCAACAUGCAAACCCGCUACCAAGUAUCGGGCAUGGACGGAGCGGCCGGCCCCGGUGCCAACGGAGCUGUCCUUCGCAUCGAACCAGUGCGGGCGCAACGCGACGACGCGACCUACGAGUGCGUUGCCGAGAACGGCGUUGGCGACGCUGUCACUGCCGUAGCUACGUUGACGGUGUUCGAAGUUGAUAAAGUCCCGCCCGGUUUCCCGAGCAUUUCGCCGCCCUCCACCAUGAUGGUCGUCGAGAUUGGCCACACGGCUACCCUGCCCUGCCAAGCUACCGGGAACCCAACGCCCAAAAUAAGAUGGCUUCGGAACUCCUUGCCACUGGACGUCGCUUCGAAUCCAAGAUACGCUCUGCUCAACGAUAAGAUGCAUGGCACACUGCAAAUAGUGAAGAGUGAAGAGGAUGACAAUGGCAAAUUUGAAUGUAUCGCGGAAAACUCGAUUGGAACUGAAUUCUCUAAGCCCACGGUUCUAUACGUGAAAGUACGAAGAGUCGCACCCCAGUUUUCGAUACCACCCCCUCCCCGCUCAGAAGUGAUGCUCGGUGGAAACCUGACUUUGAAAUGCGUUGCUUUCGGAGCACCGAUGCCUACUGUUAAAUGGAGGAAAGGAUUAACGAAAUGGUUGACCCCGGAGGAUAAUCCUCCUCUAGGGCUGAACAACCUUGAAUUAAGAGACAUCAGAGAAUCUGCCAACUACACUUGCGAAGCAGCCAGCGUGCUUGGAGUCAUUGAAGCCACAGCCGAAGUCAAAGUUCAAUCAUUACCUGGAGCCCCCACUGAAGUUAGACCUUCCGAAGUUACAGCGACCGCAGUUCGCCUGUCAUGGACAUAUAACGGCCCAGAAGAACCCCAGUACUAUGUCAUACAGUACAAACCUAAAAACGCUCAUCAGGCCUUCAGCGAGAUAUCUGGAGUGAUCACCCAAUACUACUCCGUUACGAAUCUAUCGCCUUACACUGAAUACGAGAUGUACGUCAUUGCGGUCAACAACAUCGGCAGGGGACCUCCGUCUUCACCGGCGGUCAUCAGUACCGGAGAAACAGUGGAUUCUGUAUAUGGAGGCGCCAAGCCCGGUUCAGCGCCGAAGAAUGUUCAAGUCCGUCCACUCAGCUCCAGCACGAUGGUGAUACAAUGGGAAGAACCGGAGACGCCUAACGGUCAAGUCACCGGCUACAAGAUAUUUUACACUACGGAUCCAUCGCAACCUUUACAGUCUUGGCACUCUCAUAUGAUGGACAACAGUCACUUGACAACGAUAAGCGAGCUAACCCCACACACGGUGUACACGAUAAGAGUGCAAGCGUAUACAUCCGUUGGACCCGGUCCGAUAUCUGCUCCAGUUCAAGUGAAAACCCAACAAGGAGUACCGUCGCAGCCAUCGAACCUCGUUGCCACGGAAGCUGGUGAAACAUCUGUGACUCUGUCGUGGAAACGACCAGCUCACGCCGGCGACAACAUCGUCUCUUACGAACUCUAUUGGAACGAUACGUACGCUAAGGAGCAUCAUAAAAAACGCAUCCCGAUAACGGAGACAUACACCCUGAACGGUCUGUAUCCGAAUACGUUGUACUACAUCUGGCUAGCGGCGAGGUCUCAGCGAGGGGAAGGCGCCACCACACCCGCCAUAGCCGUCAGAACCAAACAGUAUGUUCCCGGGGCGCCGCCGAUGAACGUGACCGCGGUGCCGAUCUCGCCGACUGCCGUGCGCGUGUCAUGGCAGCCGCCACCCGCCGAGCGCGCCAAUGGGAGAAUCGCGUACUACAAGCUACUAUGCGUCGAGUCCGGCAGGGGAGAUUCGGAGGCUUCCAUCUUGAAACUCAAACAGAACCAAACGUCUGUCGUUUUGGAUGAAUUGAGACGUUGGACGGAAUAUCGCAUCUGGGUGCUGGCGGGUACCAGCGUGGGCGAUGGACCCGCCUCCUACCCGGUCACUGUACGCACGCAUGAAGACGUGCCUGGUGAACCACAAGACGUCAAGGUGACAGCCAUCAACUCAACCUCUAUCCAUGUUACGUGGAAGCCGCCACAUGAUAAAGAUAAAAACGGAAUCAUCAGGGGCUAUCAUGUUCACGUCCAAGAAGUUAGAGAAGAAGGGAAAGGUCUUCUCAACGACCCCAUGCGUUUCAAUGUAAUGGAUGACACGACAUUGGAACUGAACGUUUCUGGCCUCCAACCGGACACACGGUACAAUGUUCAGGUUGCCGCGCUGACAAGGAAAGGAGACGGCGACCGGAGUCCACCAGUAUCUGUCAAAACCCCUGGCGGAGUGCCAAACAGACCCACCGUUAGUCUAAAAAUCCUGGAACGCGAACCAAUAGUUUCUAUCGAAUUAGAUUGGGCGAGACCUACACAGACAUACGGAGACUUACUUGGAUAUCGAUUACGAUUCGGAAUUAAAGAUCAGCCGUUAGAGGAAAUCAAUUUCCCUGGUACCAAAGUGACGUCACAUAGAAUAAGUGAUUUAGAACGAGGAGUUCAGUAUGAGUUUAGAAUAGCAGGAACAAAUCAAAUAGGCGUCGGACAAGAAACUAUAAAGUACAUGUUGACUCCAGAAGGUGCUCCUAAGGGACCUCCAACUAAUGUUACAUAUCAUUUCCAAACUCCCGAUAUCAUAAGUAUAACCUGGGAACCCCCUGUAAGAGCGGACAGAAGUGGCCAAAUUAAGAAAUAUGACGUCCAAUUUUAUAAAAGAGGAGAUCAGUCGUCAUUAUUAGAAAAAACCACUAACCAAACGAAGGCCGUAUUCACGGGUCUGGAAGAGGACGCACAUUACGUAUUUAAGGUUCGUGCGUAUACUGAUCAGGGGCCUGGACCCUACAGCAAAGAUAUGACUGCUCAUACCGAAAGAGAUAUCGGAAGAGCACCCAUGUCCGUCAAAGCUGUCGCCACCUCAGAGUCAAGCGUCGAAGUAUGGUGGGAAACAUUCCGUUCCAGAAAGAAGAUAAUAGGCUAUGUCUUAUUUUAUACUAUGACGCCGGUUGAAGAUUUGGACGAAUGGCAACAAAAGAGUAUACAUGUAACACAUUCGGCUGAUUUGGAAAAUCUGGAAACGUUUGCGGAGUAUGCUAUAGCAGUGGCUGCUAAAACAGCGGACGGAUUGGGAAGGCUGUCGGAAAAGGUUACUGUUAAAGUUAAACCAGAAGAAGUGCCUUUACACCUAAGAGCUCAGGACGUGUCUACACAUUCUAUGACUCUGUCCUGGUCAUCCCCGCUACGAUUAAACCCUGUUAGUUAUAAAAUCUCGUACAAUGCCAUCAAAGAGUUCGUAGACUCGCUCGGUAUGACACAGACUCAAGAGAUACCUAGAAAAGAAAUUAUUGUUAAGCAUAAUAGAACAUCAUUUUCUAUCAACGACUUGUCGCCUUUUACGACUUACAAUGUAAACGUAAGCGCCAUACCGAAUGACGAUUCGUAUCGGCCGCCUAAAAAGAUUACAGUGACGACGCAAAUGGCCGCACCUAAGCCGAUGGUCAAACCAGACUUCUAUGGUGUUGUCGAAAACGAAAUACUCGUAAUUCUACCUCAAGCUUCCGAGGAAUACGGACCUAUCUCCCAUUAUUAUUUAGUCGUAGUACCUGAUGAUAAGUUGCACAAUCACAAGAAUCCGGAUCAGUUCCUAACAGACGACCUAAUCAAGAAUAACAUGAGAACGGACGAUGAAAACGCUCCCUACAUUGCAGCCAAAUUUUUACAGAGAAACAUUUUGUAUACCUUUCACCUCGGCAACGACGAACUGUACGAAGGAUUUUUGAAUAGAAAAUUGAACCUGAACAAAAGGUAUCGAGUGUUUGUAAGAGCAGUAGUAGACACACCUCAGAAACACUUGUAUACAUCAAGUCCAUUUUCGGAAUAUCUGUCUUUGGAUAUGCGAGAAGCUCCUCCGGGUGAGGAACCUAGCAGACCAGAUCCCAAGGAUAUUAAUGGCGAUCCUGAAAUUCGAAUAGAAGAGAACAGGAAAGAGGCGGGCAUGGUUUGGGUUGUCGGGCCGAUAAUAGCCGCCCUAAUGCUUUCGCUUUGCUUAGUGGUGUUGUUCUUUGUAAAGCGGCGGCGUCAACCGUGCAAAACUCCCGAUCAGGCGGCGGUCACCAGACCUUUGAUGUCCGCCGAUGUUGGUUUUGGUGCUCCAUCUGACCCCGUGGAAAUGAGACGAUUAAACUUCCAGACACCCGCGAUGAUCUCUCAUCCGCCUAUUCCGAUUUCUGAACUAGGCGAACACAUUGAUAGACUGAAAGCCAACGACAAUAUGAAAUUCUCUCAAGAAUAUGAGAGUAUCGAGCCAGGACAACAGUUUACUUGGGACCAUUCUAACAUGGAAGUUAACAAACCGAAGAAUCGGUAUGCUAAUGUGAUCGCGUACGACCACAGUCGAGUCAUCCUUCAGCCCAUCGAUGGAAUUCUAGGCAGUGAUUACAUUAAUGCCAAUUAUUGCGACGGCUACCGCAAACAUAACGCAUACGUAGCUACUCAAGGGCCGCUGCAGGAAACUUUUGCGGAUUUCUGGAGAAUGUGUUGGGAGCUACGCACGUCCACGAUUGUUAUGAUGACAAAAUUGGAAGAGAGAACUAGAAUAAAAUGCGACCAAUAUUGGCCGAGCCGCGGCACUGAAUCGUACGGCAUGAUGAGCGUUACCAUUGCCGAAGUUCAAGAACUUUCGACUUAUUCCAUACGUACUUUCCAAGUAUCUAGGAACGGAUGCGCCGAACGUAGAGAAAUCAAACAGCUACAGUUUACGGCUUGGCCGGAUCACGGCGUUCCCGAUCAUCCUGCGCCCUUCCUCCAGUUUUUGAGACGCGUUCGUGCCUUGAAUCCGCCCGAAGCCGGUCCGCUGGUCGUCCACUGUUCCGCCGGGGUGGGUCGUACGGGGUGCUUCAUAGUCAUUGACUCGAUGCUUGAGAGAGCCCGACAUGAGCGCACUGUCGAUAUAUACGGGCACGUGACCUGUCUCCGCGCUCAACGUAACUACAUGGUGCAAACCGAGGACCAAUACAUCUUCAUUCACGACGCCUUACUGGAGGCGGUUAUCUGCGGCGACACGGAAGUGCCGGCGCGCAAUCUGCACGCUCACAUCCAGAAGCUGAUGCGAAUCGACUCUAUCGAGAACAUAACGGGCAUGGAAUUAGAAUUCAAGAAGCUGGCGAACAUGAAGGCGGACUCCAGUAGGUUUGUCUCGGCCAGUUUGCCUUGCAACAAGCACAAGAACAGGCUAGUCCACAUCUUGCCGUACGAGUCUAGUCGGGUCUGCCUGACGCCGCGCGAUGGCUCCGAUUACAUCAACGCGUCGUUCGUUGACGGAUACAGAUACAGGGCGGCGUAUAUCGCCACGCAGGGCCCCCUACCGGACACCACCGACGACUUCUGGCGAAUGCUUUGGGAGCACAACUCAACCAUCAUCGUGAUGCUGACCAAACUGAAGGAAAUGGGCCGGGAAAAAUGUCACCAAUAUUGGCCGUCUGACCGCUCGGUGCGUUACCAGUGCUUCGUAGUGGAUCCGAUUGCCGAAUACAACAUGCCUCAAUACAUUUUGAGGGAAUUUAAGGUCACGGAUGCCCGGGACGGCGCCUCCAGGACGGUCAGACAGUUCCAGUUCACGGACUGGCCCGAACAAGGAGUGCCGAAAAGCGGAGAAGGCUUCAUCGAUUUCCUCGGACAAGUUCACAAGACCAAGGAACAAUUCGGACAGGACGGACCUAUAACUGUGCACUGCAGUGCGGGCGUCGGUCGCACGGGCGUGUUCAUAACUCUGUCAACGGUGUUGGAGCGUAUGCAGUAUGAAGGCGUGGUGGAUGUAUUCCAGACGGUACGCACGCUCCGCACGCAGCGACCCGCCAUCGUGCAGACUGAGGACCAGUACGAGUUCUGCUACCGCGCAGCCCUGGAGUAUCUCGGCUCGUUCGAUCACUACACCAACUGACGGUGCGAUAGGCUCGCUUAAAUUGUCGCGCGCUUUCAUUAUUAUUAUUAUUAUGUAUGUACUUAAUAUUGUAUAUCUCAUAAUAUGGAACUUAGAAGCGCUUUAAUGUUCCUGUUAAAACCGACUAACAUUUAAAAAAAAUAGUAUUUUUUAAUGAUAAACUAUGAUUUAUAUUCACAAAACUGCAAUCCGGAUAAUCCAGAUAAAUAAAUACCGAUUUUUCUGUGCGCAACGAAAAUUCGCUUCUACGUCCCAUAUUAAUAUAUAGAGGUGAGAAAACAAUUUAUAGACAUGAGUUCAACGUAGUUUGUGUAAUCAAACGUAGUCUUAAACUGGCCACUACCCAAUGUAAUCUUACAUUACCAAACUAUACCGGCAACGUUCCUCAAAUCCAUAGUUUCUAUUUGGUAGCUAAUUAUUAUAUAAAACAUUAACAUUCGACGUUGUGAAAAAAAAAAUAGUCUAAAAAAUAAUAACUAAAAUUAUAUGUACUCAAAAUGUCAAAUGAUACAUUAAAAACUUCUUACAAACAAUACGCGGGAAACACGUUCAGUUACGCGCCAAUAUUUGUGACGCAAAAAACCGUGGUAAUGUCAGUGCGUCGAUUUGACUGAUUAUUCAAUACGAAAUGAGGCUAAUUCGUGUAUGAGUGUGUGCCUAAGGGAUGCUACUUACGAUUUAUGAUUAUUAACUAUUGUGACCACUAUUCAAAUCAUGAUUGUGAGUCGAAAGGGUAAUAAACGUAAUUAAAUUAUCCUAAUUAUCGGAAUUAUGAUAGAAAUAAAGCAGGCGUUCACCCUAAACGAUAACUUAUCGAAACGACGGUCGUAACUCUAACCUCAAAAUACAAACAAACAGUAUAGAGCUGUUCAUACUUUUUAAAGGCUCUGGCAAUAGUUGCCAAAUUAAAAAAACGGCUACAGCUCCCGUUAAAUUCCAUAAAAACGAUUUGAACAAGCAUUAUUAAUAAUAAUACAACGUGUAUUUUAAUCAACAUAGUCCAAUAGUGCGAAUAACGUUAAAUUAUAUUUCAACAAUGUUACGAAAAGUCGUAAUCACAAACACGAAAAAGUUAAAACAGACGUGCUAAAAAAAACAUUCAACAAUGUAAUACAGUGAUUCUCAACCACUGUUCCGCGGCACUUUUGUGUGCCGCCAAAUUUCAAAAGUGUGCCGCCAAAUUUUGCGACUAUAUAAUAAUGUUAAUAUUAUUAAAUUAUAUCAUUUUAAAAGAAAAAUAUUUUAAACAUGAAUAUAUGUAUAUUUAAAUCCACAAAAAAAAAAUUAUAGUAUAUUUUAGUUUAUUUCGUAUAUUAAAAUUUUUUGAUAAACUAUUUAAGCAGUGUUGUAGUAAAUAAAUAAAUUUUAUCUUUUUUUUUGUGUGCCGCCAAAUUUUGAAAUCGUCAAAUAUGUGCCGCAACAAAAAAAAGGUUGAGAAUCACUGAUGUAAUAGAACUAUGUAAUGCGCUUAAAAAUCUUGAUAACUUCAUGCGAUAAAUAAAAAUAAAAAUAAAUACGAAAUAUUAUAUCGUGGCAAUUAAUUAUACAGAAGUAAUAUUGUAAAAUGUAAAAAGUUAUUGCAGCUAUAAUUAGAUGUUUAUUUUUCAUAUCGUGUGUUAAUAACGUUUAAGUAGUUGUAAAUUGUGGUAACAUGUUUCAUUAUUGCAAUAUUAUAUAACAAGAUGAUAUGUAUAUUAAAAAAAAAAAAAAAACGAAUCGGCUGUGUCGAGUGAAUAUUAAAUCCUCUGCGUAUUCCGUUAUAAAAUAACGUAUUAUAUUUUAUACGAACAUUAUUUUGCCAAUCACAGUUCUCUUGCCCUGAUUUAAUUGUAAUUUAUAAAAAAAACUCACCAGCUUGCUAACUUUAAAUAGCAUUUACGUUAAAUUCUGACCUCAACGUAUAUUUAGUUGUAAAAGACAAUGUAAACGUAAAAAUGCUAUUCAAUUCUUAUUAUUAUUAUUAUUAUUAUAAUUUCCAAUGCGCUAAUUGCUUGCUUUAGACUUAUGAUAAUAAUUCGAUCACAUAUCUAUUUCGUAGUUAGAUAAUCAUUUUCGGUCGUAAUGGAAUCGACUGAGAAAAAAAUCAUUUUAAAUGUAACACAUUGAACCCUUUUUAAUAAAUUGAAUAAUAAGAACGACUAUGUACUAAUUAAUAUAUUUAUAAUGUGACUGCCACAAACUAUAAUACACUAUAUUAAGCUAUCUUUAAGUGUAGUAUGUUUAAUCUUUUUAAUAAUGUAAUCUCCCUUGCAUAGUGAAACUUUAAGGUUUUUUUUUAGGUUUUUCACUCGUUUUUAUACAAUAAACCUAAUAUUGUAUCUAAGUAAAAUGUUUUUGAGCUUGUAAGUAAUUUAGGAAAAAAAAAAGUGUGGACGCGCGCUCCGAACGCUACGCGAAUAAUUUAAAAGAUCGAGUCAUAAUUCGGUCGGUCUGUUUGAAUAUCUACGAAUCAUUCUAAUUGUGUAUAAGUCUUGUUACGUGAUUACGUGGCAUUGAAUGAAAUGAACGAUCGCAGUCAACAGUAUAAAAAAGUCUGUGGAAACAUUAACGAAGACAGACAGACGGACGUAAUCAGAAAAUUAUAAUAUUUAUGGCAGCGCAGCUUUAUAAGUUCAUAAUCAUUCCUUAUAUUUUAAAUAAUUAUUAUGCCGUAUCACUUAUCGCAGCUAUAGUAAUGGUUAAUUUAAUUUAUUAAUGAGUUUUCAGCUCUGUAUUCUAUUUUUAGAUAUUACUUUUCUAUAUGACGUAACGAUUCAUACGCACACAUACGAUCUCUUGUACAGAAUAACUAACUACACCAUAGACUAAGUUUUUUUUUUAAUUGCGGACUAUUACGUUGACUGUUUUAAUAUAAUAUUUCCUAAAACAAAUAUCGUCUUGAAAAACUAUAAAAUCUUUUAAACCGUUAUAAUUGGUGGUAACAACACAACCAAUAGAAUUAAUGUUUUAUAUUUUUACCAACGUUAGUUUAAUAAUGAAAUUCUACAAUUGUUUUCUUAUAAUCUUAUAAUAUAAUUAUCAACUACUUUUUAAUAGUUUUUAAAUGUGCUGCUAUUAUUUAUAAUUUCAAUUUAAUUAUAUCAAUUUUACUUUUCAAAUCACGAAGACUGAUUUUAUCUAUUGACGUUUUUGAAUGUGUUCGUAAUUGUUUUGACACGUUGUUAUGUAAUAAUCACCAAGUAUUUUAAUUUUGUUGUAAAAUCUCGAUAACUAAAUAUGUAUCUACUGGAUUUCAUUGUUUAUUGUUGCAAUACAAAGUUCAGUUAAAUUCAUUACAACAGACUCUAGUUAGUAAUUCCUUCACUGCGAUUUCUUGAUCACAACUUUCAAAUAAAAUGUCUAAUUCAAUUAACCUAACCGCUAUCAUUAUUGAUUUUAUAAACAAAAACUAAUUAUUUAAUCCGCUAUCUCGUACCAGUGUAUUUUAUUUUUGUAAACAAGACAAUCCAAUCCACUAGUUAAUUCAGCUCCUAGCUAGGCAUGAUACCUGACAUAAUCUGUCAUUUUUAUAAUUUGGCGGGAACUUUCAUUCGUGAGUCUAGAGCUGAAAAUUUCUUACGGAAUGUAUAUGACAGAGUGAAAUCCCUAGCUUUAAAAAAUAAUGUAGAGCAAUUAAUUAAUACGGCGUAGGCAAUGGAAGGCAGGCGAUUUGUGAGUGUACUAGUAGUAUGUAGUGUAUAAUUAUUUUGUAAAUUAACAGCGCUGCGUCUCAUGACACAGCGGAUUCGCAAAAUUAUACAUAUGUAUAUGAAGAAAUAAAUUUAUGUGAGACCAUA